AUACGGAGGGUGCAAGCGUUAAUCGGAAUUACUGGGCGUAAAGCGCACGCAGGCGGUCAAUUAAGUCAGAUGUGAAAGCCCCGAGCUUAACUUGGGAAUUGCAUCUGAAACUGGUUGGCUAGAGUCUUGUAGAGGGGGGUAGAAUUCCACGUGUAGCGGUGAAAUGCGUAGAGAUGUGGAGGAAUACCGGUGGCGAAGGCGGCCCCCUGGACAAAGACAGACGCUCAGGGGCGAAAGCGUGGGGAGCAAACAGGAUUAGAUACCCUGGUAGUCCACGCUGUAAACGAUGUCGAUUUAGAGGUUGUGGUCUUGAACCGUGGCUUCUGGAGCUAACGCGUUAAAUCGACCGCCUGGGGAGUACGGCCGCAAGGUUAAAACUCAAAUGAAUUGACGGGG
rnacentral:rRNA from 1 species